CCUACGGGGGGCUGCAGUGGGGAAUAUUGGACAAUGGGGGGAACCCUGAUCCAGCCAUGCCGCGUGUGUGAAGAAGGCCCUCGGGUUGUAAAGCACUUUCAGUGAGGAAGAACGCCUGGUGGUUAAUACCCAUCAGGAAAGACAUCACUCACAGAAGAAGCACCGGCUAACUCCGUGCCAGCAGCCGCGGUAAUACGGAGGGUGCGAGCGUUAAUCGGAAUUACUGGGCGUAGAGCGCGCGUAGGUGGCUUGAUAAGCCGGUUGUGAAAGCCCCGGGCUCAACCUGGGAACGGCAUCCGGAACUGUCAAGCUAGAGUGCAGGAGAGGAAGGUAGAAUUCCCGGUGUAGCGGUGAAAUGCGUAGAGAUCGGGAGGAAUACCAGUGGCGAAGGCGGCCUUCUGGACUGACACUGACACUGAGGUGCGAAAGCGUGGGUAGCAAACAGGAUUAGAUACCCCUGUAGUC
rnacentral:rRNA from 1 species